CCUACGGGUGGCAGCAGUGAGGAAUAUUGGUCAAUGGGCGAGAGCCUGAACCAGCCAAGUCGCGUGAAGGAUGAAGGAUCUAUGGUUUGUAAACUUCUUUUAUAUGGGAAUAAAGUGAGGAACGUGUGCCUUUUUGUAUGUACCAUAUGAAUAAGCAUCGGCUAACUCCGUGCCAGCAGCCGCGGUAAUACGGAGGAUGCGAGCGUUAUCCGGAUUUAUUGGGUUUAAAGGGUGCGUAGGUGGUUAAUUAAGUCAGCGUUGAAAGUUUGUGGCUCAACCAUAAAAUUGCAAUUGAUACUGGUAGCCUUGAGUAUAUUUGAGGUAGGCGGAAUGCGUGGUGUAGCGGUGAAAUGCAUAGAUAUCACAAAGAACACCGAUUGCGAAGGCAGCUCACGAAUCCGCGAUUGACGCUGAUGCACGAAAGCGUGGGUAUCAAACAGGAUUAGAUACCCGAGUAGUC
rnacentral:rRNA from 1 species